CAAUUCACCUGUCUCAGCCUCCUGAGUAGCUGGGACUACAGAUAUUAAUCAUCUUUAGGAUUAGAACCUAAAGCGUAAGUCUAAUUGUGCCCAGAAUUGCUUCCUUCCAGUGGGUUCCUGGUCUCGUUGACUUCAAGAAUGAAGCUGCAGACCCUCACAAUAUUACUCUAGGAAAAUUUACAACCUGAAGCAAGGAGAAAUAAGAUUUCUCUUCUAAAUGCUGAAUUUGAAAGGCUUCAUUGGUAUUGCAUUGGAUCCAUAAAUUAGUUGGAAAAAACUGCCACCUUUAACAGUUCUGAGCCUUCCAAUCCAUGAGCAUGUUGCAGAGGAUGAGAAGUUCAAAAUCAAGGCACUG
rnacentral:lncRNA from 10 species